CCGAUUUUGUAAUACAAUUCUUUUUCAGGACUUCUUUUUAUUGUGUGUUCAUUUUGUUAUUAUUGAUAAGAUGAGAAGAAAAUAAAUUUUCUAAUUCCUGGAAAAUAUAUAUCGAUCGUCGGCGAUCAUACAUGAAAGUUGCGGGAUUUUAUGACCAUUCUACCUUCUUUACAUGUCUAUGGUAGCUAUACUACAAUUUUCACAAAUUAAUUUAUAUUUCAAGGUUACUAAUUAUCAAGGUACUAUAAUCAUAGAGGGAGAUUGAAUAUGGACACAGCAUGUUUUGUAAUUAAAGCAUAAUACAAGUCAUUUCCAAGGUAUAGUCUGUGGUAAAUUAAUAGUUUUUAUAUUUUGUUACGGGAUAGGAGUUGACCUGAUCAUCUGAUCGAGUGAAACGAUCUUUUUGUCGAGACAUGAAUACAGCACAGUAGAUCACUUCCUGCUUAUACAAAACAUGUUUAUGUACAUAUUUAUUUUGAAAAUAUACAAGCAGUUUCAAGGCCAUUAAAUUGAUCAUUCAAUAACCUUACGUUGUAAAUUGUGCUUUCUUU
rnacentral:lncRNA from 1 species